rnacentral:lncRNA from 1 species
CUUGAAAAAAACUGAUGUGGCUUUCAUUGAUCCAAAAAGAAACUGUUUGCAGCUCUCAACUAUUUGAGAUUCUCCUAAAUCCUCAUAAUGACAUGAAGCUUGCCCAUUUCUGCUAUAUGUGUAUGUGUGUAUAUAAUACAUCCAGUGUUAUACAUACAUUCAUAUAGAUAGAUAACUGCAGAAAUGUUUUAAUGAGUCUUGAGAUAUGAAUGGAAAUGAGCAUAUAUCACAUAUUGUCAUUCAUAUAAAAAUAUACACAUACCACCAGAUUAAUUUAACAACAGUAAUGAAGAUAGGUUCUAACAUAUACAUUAAAAGUAAGAUAUAUAAACAUACAAAAGCAGAUGUACCACAAGUUGAUACCACAUGUUAUCAUUACUGUUCAUAUAUGACGAAAUUUAUAAAAGGAAACUAAUGCAGUUCAAUAGAUCUCUAAGCACAUGUACACCAACAAACUGUAGAGGAAUGCAAAUAAAAUUAUCCAAAAUGCAUUUCUGGAUAUUUGUUGUAC